GACGAACGCUGGCGGCGUGCUUAACACAUGCAAGUCGAACGGAAAGGCCCUGCUUUUGUGGGGUGCUCGAGUGGCGAACGGGUGAGUAACACGUGAGUAACCUGCCCUUGACUUUGGGAUAACUUCAGGAAACUGGGGCUAAUACCGGAUAGGAGCUCCUGCUGCAUGGUGGGGGUUGGAAAGUUUCGGCGGUUGGGGAUGGACUCGCGGCUUAUCAGCUUGUUGGUGGGGUAGUGGCUUACCAAGGCUUUGACGGGUAGCCGGCCUGAGAGGGUGACCGGCCACAUUGGGACUGAGAGACGGCCCAGACUCCUACGGUAGGCAGCAGUGGGGAAUAUUGCACAAUGGGCGGAAGCCUGAUGCAGCAACGCCGCGUGCGGGAUGACGGCCUUCGGGUUGUAAACCGCUUUCGCCUGUGACGAAGCGUGAGUGACGGUAAUGGGUAAAGAAGCACCGGCUAACUACGUG
rnacentral:rRNA from 1 species